UACGUAGGUGGCAAGCGUUGUCCGGAAUUAUUGGGCGUAAAGCGCGCGCAGGCGGUCCUUUAAGUCUGAUGUGAAAGCCCACGGCUCAACCGUGGAGGGUCAUUGGAAACUGGGAGACUUGAGUGCAGAAGAGGAUAGUGGAAUUCCAAGUGUAGCGGUGAAAUGCGUAGAGAUUUGGAGGAACACCAGUGGCGAAGGCGACUAUCUGGUCUGUAACUGACACUGAGGCGCGAAAGCGUGGGGAGCAAACAGG
rnacentral:rRNA from 1 species